AGUGAACGCUGGCGGUAGGCCUAACACAUGCAAGUCGAACGGCAGCACAGUAAGAGCUUGCUCUUACGGGUGGCGAGUGGCGGACGGGUGAGGAAUACAUCGGAAUCUACUUUUUCGUGGGGGAUAACGUAGGGAAACUUACGCUAAUACCGCAUACGACCUACGGGUGAAAGCAGGGGAUCUUCGGACCUUGCGCGAUUGAAUGAGCCGAUGUCGGAUUAGCUAGUUGGCGGGGUAAAGGCCCACCAAGGCGACGAUCCGUAGCUGGUCUGAGAGGAUGAUCAGCCACACUGGAACGGAGACACGGUCCAGACUCCUACGGGAGGCAGCAGUGGGGAAUAUUGGACAAUGGGCGCAAGCCUGAUCCAGCCAUACCGCGUGGGUGAAGAAGGCCUUCGGGUUGUAAAGCCCUGUUGUUGGGAAAGAAAAGCAGCAGGUUAAUACCCCGCUGUUCUGACGGUACCCAAAGAAUAAGCACCGGCUAACUUCGUG
rnacentral:rRNA from 1 species